UGGGGAAUAUUGCGCAAUGGGGGGAAACCCUGACGCAGCGACACCGCGUGGAGGAUGACAGCCUUCGGGUUGUAAACUCACGUUAAAAAGCAAUGGCUAACUACGUGCCAGCAGCAGCGGUAAUACGUAGGUUGCAAGCGUUUUCCGGAUUUAUUGGGCGUAAAGAGCUUUGUAGGCGGCCCAGAAAGUUUCAAGUUAAAUCCUUAAGCCUAACUUAAGUGCUGCUUGAAAAACUUCUGGGCUUGAGUGGCAUAGGGGCAAGCGGAACUGAUGGAGUAGCAGUGAAAUGCGUUGAUCUCAUCGGGAACACCAAAGGCGAAGGCAGCUUGCUGGGUGCUCACUGACGCUGAGUAUGCGAGAGCGUGGGUAGCGAAACGGAUUAGAUACC
rnacentral:rRNA from 1 species